AUUGAACGCUGGCGGCAGGCCUAACACAUGCAAGUAGAACGAGUGGCGGACGGGUGAGUAAUGUCUGGGAAACUGCCCGAUGGAGGGGGAUAACUACUGGAAACGGUAGAUAAUACCGCAUACCAUCGGAUGUGCCCAGAUGGGAUUAGCUUGUAGGUGAGGUAACGGCUCACCUAGGCGACGAUCCCUAGCUGGUCUGAGAGGAUGACCAGCCACGAUGUAAGUGUGACACGGUCCAGACGCCUACGGGAGGCAGCAUGGGGGAAUAGUGCACAAUGGGCGCAAGUCUGAUGCAGCCAGGCCGCGUGUAUGAAGAAGGCCUUCGGGUUGUAAAGUACUUUCAGCGGGGAGGCGUUACCCGCAGGAGAAGCACCGGCUAACUCCGUGCCAGCCGCCGCGGUAAUAC
rnacentral:rRNA from 1 species